CCGCCCUCUCUCCGCGCGGCCUAGCCGGCCUCGGGCGCGUCGGGAUCCCCGGCUUUUCCCGGCCCGGCCCGCCGGCUGCCCGGCCCCGGCCCUGGCUCGCCGAGUCGGCGCGCGCCGCCCCCUCCCCCUUCUCCCGCCCGGGGCGCUCCCACCGCCGCUGCUCACCCUCUCUCCACCUCUGACCUCAUCUUAUUUUCCAAAAAUCUGUGCGGCCCUUCUUCCUGGGUGCCGGGAGCUCUUUAGCCUGUUCCCGGUGUCCGUGACCUUCCUACCCCCGACGCGCCCCCCCCCCCCACCUGGGAGGCAGAGACCUUUCGCUCUUCCCUCUCCCCUGCGUUUGGGCACCUUGGUGCCAGCCCUGGAGCGUUUUUGAACUCGGUGGAAGAGCCUUUCAAGGACAAUUCUAUCUUUACAACCCCUCUCGCAGAAUCACGGUGGCUCAGUCUUUCCCAGUAACAUGACAUUGGUCAGAGGGCCCCUGGCAUUACCGUUAAAAAUAAGAUAAAAAGGAAACUUUUCCAUCGGGACUGGGGAAUGCUCUCUGUCUUCCGGUCUAGGUCAGAACUCCCCAAGACGGGUGGUCUGCCGGCAUCUGAAGCGCCACGGUCCAAAUUGCUGCUGUCCUAUUGUUUAUUCCUUUCCCGUUCUACCUGCGAGGAUGAUGCUCCCGAAUGUGGACACUUCCUCUGUGCAGAUAGACCAACCAGUGGUCGCCAGACAAGUCCUAUCGUGCUUUCUGAAUACAUGCGACAUUUUAAAAACAA